rnacentral:misc_RNA from 1 species
GAAAAUUCAUGCUGCACAUAAUAUUCUUCACAGACAGACCCAUACAAAUGGGACUCUUUCUGAAAAUUGACAAAAUCUCUUCUUCAGAUAGACCCCACCUCCUAUAAGCCUCAAUUCUGUGUUCCCAUGUUUUCUGCAAUGAUCCAAGCAAAAUUCGGAGCGCCCUAACAAACGUAGAUUUGGAAGGAUCAAAUCCUAUUUCAAUAACUUUCUUAACCCCUUCAGCAAAAUUGAAAGCNNUUUUAGGCACACAACACGGGGAUAAUGGAUGACCAAGGAAGAGAUGGAUGAUUGAGGAAUUCCAAGCCCUCUUAGAAGCGAUAAAUUGGCAAAAAAGUCGAUCUGCGAA